rnacentral:rRNA from 1 species
AGGAUAAACGCUGGCGGCGUGCCUAACACAUGCAAGUCGAACGUCUCUUCUUUCGGGAAGAGGAGUGGCGGACGGGUGAGUACCACGUGGGUCAUCUACCGUGAGGUGAGGAAUACCGGCGAGAAAUCGCCGACAAGACCGCAUAGCCUCGGUGCAAGUCGAGGAAAGCUCUCUCGAGAGAGGGAGCGCCACACGAGGAGCCUGCGCCCGAUUAGCUAGCUGGUGGAGUAACGGUUCACCAGGGCGACGAUCGGUAGCUGGUCUGAGAGGACGAUCAGCCACACUGGGAUUGAGAACGGCCCAGACUCCUACGGGGGGCAGCAGUGAGGAAUUUUCGUCAAUGGGGGCAACCCUGAACGAGCAACGCCGCGUGCAGGAAGAAGGUUUUCGGAUCGUAAACUGCUUUUCGUCGGGGAAGAGAACGGACGGUACCCGAGGAAUCAGCCCGGCUAACUACGUGCCAGCAGCCGC